rnacentral:rRNA from 1 species
UACGUAGGUCCCGAGCGUUGUCCGGAUUUAUUGGGCGUAAGGCGAGCGCAGGUGGUUUAUUAAGUCUGGUGUAAAAGGCAGUGGCUCAACCAUUGUAUGCAUUGGAAACUGGUAGACUUGAGUGCAGGAGAGGAGAGUGGAAUUCCAUAUGUAGCGGUGAAAUGCGUAGAUAUAUGGAGGAACACCGGUGGCGAAAGCGGCUCUCUGGCCUGUAACUGACACUGAGGCUCGAAAGCGUGGGGAGCAAACAGG